rnacentral:rRNA from 1 species
AGUGAACGCUGGCGGCGUGCCUAAUACGUGCAAGUCGAACGGAGAUUAAGUAGCUUGCUAUUUAAUCUUAGUGGCGCACGGGUGAGUAAUAUAUAGCUAACUUGCCCAUUACUAAGGGACAACAGUUGGAAACGACUGCUAAUACCUUAUACUCCGUAUCUAUAUAAGUAGAUACGGGAAAGUUUUUCGGUAAUGGAUAGGGCUAUAUCGUAUCAGCUAGUUGGUAAGGUAAUGGCUUACCAAGGCUAUGACGCGUAACUGGUCUGAGAGGAUGAUCAGUCACACUGGAACUGAGACACGGUCCAGACUCCUACGGGAGGCAGCAGUAGGGAAUAUUGCUCAAUGGGGGAAACCCUGAAGCAGCAACGCCGCGUGGAGGAUGACACUUUUCGGAGCGUAAACUCCUUUUCUUGGGAAAGAAUUAUGACGGUACCCAAGGAAUAAGCACCGGCUAACUCCGUG